rnacentral:rRNA from 1 species
UACGUAGGGUGCAAGCGUUAAUCGGAAUUACUGGGCGUAAAGCGUGCGCAGGCGGUUUUGCAAGCCCGAUGUGAAAUCCCCGGGCUUAACCUGGGAAUGGCAUUGGUGACUGCACGGCUAGAGUGUGUCAGAGGGGGGUAGAAUUCCACGUGUAGCAGUGAAAUGCGUAGAGAUGUGGAGGAAUACCGAUGGCGAAGGCAGCCCCCUGGGAUAACACUGACGCUCAUGCACGAAAGCGUGGGGAGCAAACAGG